ACUCAAAUGAAUUGACGGGGGCCCGCACAAGCGGUGGAGCAUGUGGUUCAAUUCGACGCAACGCGAAGAACCUUACCCAGGCUUGACAUGCACAGGACGGGUGUGGAAACACAUCUUUCCUUCGGGACCUGUGCACAGGUGCUGCAUGGCUGUCGUCAGCUCGUGUCGUGAGAUGUUGGGUUAAGUCCCGCAACGAGCGCAACCCUCGUCUUUAGUUGCUAACGAGUAAAGUCGAGCACUCUAAAGAGACUGCCGGCGGUAAGCCGGAGGAAGGUGGGGAUGACGUCAAGUCCUCAUGGCCCUUACGCCUGGGGCUACACACGUGCUACAAUGGACGAUACAAAGGGCUGCGAUACCGCGAGGUGGAGCCAAUCCCAAAAAAUCGUCCUCAGUUCGGAUUGCAGUCUGCAACUCGACUGCAUGAAGCCGGAAUCGCUAGUAAUCGCUGAUCAGCAGGCAGCGGUGAAUACGUUCCCGGGCCUUGUACACACCGCCCGU
rnacentral:rRNA from 1 species